ensembl:snoRNA small Cajal body-specific RNA 20
GGCCCCUCUUCCCUGGGGCUGUGGGAGUCUCCUUUGCCCUCAGCCAGGACAGGGGGCCCAGAUCAGCCUUGGAGGAGCAUCGUUGGGGCUGCUGUGAGCUGGGCGGCCUCAUUUUCCUGCCUCAGACAUUA